rfam:Atopobium minutum 10063974 genomic scaffold acnkJ-supercont1.1, whole genome shotgun sequence.
GUCAGCGAUUAUGGCUAAGGAGGUACACCUGGACCCAUUCCGAACCCAGAAGUUAAGCCCUUAAGCGCCGAUGGUACUGCGGAGUAAGUCCGUGGGAGAUAAGGACGUCGCUGACC